rnacentral:rRNA from 1 species
AACGAACGCUGGCGGCAUGCCUAACACAUGCAAGUCGAACGAGACCUUCGGGUCUAGUGGCGCACGGGUGCGUAACGCGUGGGAACCUGCCCUUAGGUUCGGAAUAACUCCCCGAAAGGGGUGCUAAUACCGGAUAAUGUCUUCGGACCAAAGAUUUAUCGCCUUUGGAUGGGCCCGCGUUGGAUUAGCUCGUUGGUAGGGUAAAAGCCUACCAAGGCGUCGAUCCAUAGCUGGUCUGAGAGGAUGAUCAGCCACACUGGGACUGAGACACGGCCCAGACUCCUACGGGAAGCAGCAGUGGGGAAUAUUGGACAAUGGGCGAAAGCCUGAUCCAGCAAUGCCGCGUGAGUGAUGAAGGCCUUAGGGUUGUAAAGCUCUUUUACCCGGGAUGAUAAUGACAGUACCGGGAGAAUAAGCUCCGGCUAACUCCGUG